CUCCCAAAAUCCCAUCCUCCACGAAUCCAAUCUCUACCUCCGUCACAACAGCCUCAACCACAACCACGGUGUUGUCGGAUAGUCACGGCGAUGACAUCUCCGCCCCGGCACGGUUCGAGCUGCAGUGGUUGGCUAUUUUUCUGCUGGACAGCUGCGCCGCCGUUUGUGAUCCCGGACGGAUCUGAGGAGCUCCGUGCCGGAUCCGCUCGUCCAACGUCUUCAUGUGGAGCUCCGGCUGCUCGGACGCCUUCACGACGUCGGCAAGCCCUGCGCCGCCGCCCCUCGCGCCCCUCAAAUCGGACGCGAUCUGGAGCUUGUGCACCACCUAUGGAGGAGGGGUAAGGGUUCAGGGGCCGCCGUGAGGUCUGGGCGUGGCUGCAGCAGCUGGGGGAGGAGGAAGCAGGGGCUUCGAUCUAGCCGAAGCAGCCGGAGGAGAAGGAAGCAGGGGAAGGGAGCUCGUCCUCGAUGCAGCAAUACGAAGACAAUAGGGGCUAGGAAAUGGAGUUCUUCGCUGACCAAAUCGAAGCCCAGACAAAAUGGUUGGUGAAGGAGAUGUGCCUGGUAGUGAAACAGAGGGUUCUCCAAAUAGGAUUUCUUGGCGAGACUUAAAAUGGGCUACUAAGCGGGAUGAGCUUGCCUCCUCAGGCUUUUCUAGUUGCACAAGAGUACCUGAUUAGUUGGCAUCCUCAGCAUUUCUAGUGGCACAAUACCAUCCAACUAGUUGACAUCCUCAGUCUUUUUGUAGCUGCAUUGACACCCUCAGCAUUUUCUUCUAGAAGCCUGGAACCUGAAUGUGCAAUUUUUUGAUUGGUCAUGCAAGUGCUGAAUAUUUGUUUUCCCAAGGGUAUCUAAUUAAUUGGCAUCCUUAAGAUUUGUAGUUGCGCAAAAGUAUUCAAUUAGUUGGCAUCUUCAACCUUUCUACUUGCACAAAUAGUAUCCAACUAAUUGACAUCCUCAGCCUUUCUAGUUGCACAAGAGUAACUAUUUUUUAGUCUCAUCUUCAAAUUUUUGAGGGUUUCCCAAGAGUAUC